CAUGUUUUAUGGGAUGCGUAGCCUACACAGUAAGUCAAGACUAUUUAUGAACAGGCAGGAAUGAUAGGCUUUGCAUUUAGGAGCGAAUAAAAACGUCAGAAUUAUUGUCACCUUUAGCUGUCCAGAAGAAAAAGAAAAAAAGCCGUUAUCAGAGGUAAUUUCCAAGGACAUUACAAUUAAGAGGAGGUGAGUGUCAGUUUGUUUAAAUAUGUUUCAAUAUAUGUUACUUUUUUUAACAUUAACUACUUCUC
rnacentral:lncRNA from 1 species